AUUUUUUUUUUGGUUCAUAAGUGUGAUGAUCAGGUAUUCACACAUUGCGAUACAUGUUCCUCCCACAGACCUUGUUACAAUAUUAGCAAUUAUGUGUGAGAAA